UACGAAGGGGGGCUAGCGUUGCUCGGAAUUACUGGGCGUAAAGCGCACGUAGGCGGAUCUUUAAGUCAGGGGUGAAAUCCUGGAGCUCAACUCCAGAACUGCCUUUGAUACUGAGGACCUUGAGUUCGGGAGAGGUGAGUGGAACUGCGAGUGUAGAGGUGAAAUUCGUAGAUAUUCGCAAGAACACCAGUGGCGAAAGGCGGCUCACUGGCCCCGAUCUGACGCUUGAGGUGCGAAAAGCGUGGGGGAGCAAACAGGGAUUUAAGAAAACCCCCG
rnacentral:rRNA from 1 species